GACGAACCGUGCGAACGUUGUUCGGAAUCACUGGGCUUAAAGGGCGCGUAGGCGGACCAUCAAGUCAGGAGUGAAAUCCCCCGGCUCAACCGGGGAAGUGCUUUUGAUACUGGUGGUCUCGAGUGGGGUAGGGGCGUGCGGAACUUCCGGUGGAGCGGUGAAAUGCGUAGAGAUCGGAAGGAACGCCGGUGGCGAAAGCGGCACGCUGGACCCUUUCUGACGCUGAGGCGCGAAAGCCAGGGGAGCAAACGGG
rnacentral:rRNA from 1 species